GACGAACGCUGGCGGCGUGCCUAAUACAUGCAAGUCGAACGAAGCUUUUUUAACUGGUGCUUGCACCGACUUAAACAACUGAGUGGCGAACGGGUGAGUAACACGUGGGUAACCUGCCCCAAAGCGGGGGAUAACAUUUGGGAACAGAUGCUAAUACCGCAUAACCACAGAAACCACAUGGUUUCUGUGUCAAAGAUGGUUUCGGCUAUCACUUUGGGAUGGACCCGCGGCGUAUUAGCUAGUUGGUAAGGUAAUGGCUUACCAAGGCAAUGAUACGUAGCCGAACUGAGAGGUUGAUCGGCCACAUUGGGACUGAGACACGGCCCAAACUCCUACGGGAGGCAGCAGUAGGGAAUCUUCCACAAUGGACGAAAGUCUGAUAGAGCAACGCCGCGUGAGUGAAGAAGGUUUUCGGAUCGUAAAACUCUGUUGUCAGAGAAGAACGUGUGCGAGAGUAACUGUUCGUGCAGUGACGGUAUCUGGCCAGAAAGCCACGGCUAACUACGUGCCAGCCGCCGCGGUAA
rnacentral:rRNA from 1 species